rnacentral:rRNA from 1 species
CCUACGGGUGGCUGCAGUGGGGAAUAUUGCACAAUGGGCGCAAGCCUGAUGCAGCCAUGCCGCGUGUGUGAAGAAGGCCUUCGGGUUGUAAAGCACUUUCAGCGGGGAGGAAGGCGUUAAGGUUAAUAACCUUGGCGAUUGACGUUACCCGCAGAAGAAGCACCGGCUAACUCCGUGCCAGCAGCCGCGGUAAUAUGGAGGGUGCAAGCGUUAAUCGGAAUUACUGGGCGUAAAGCGCACGCAGGCGGUCUGUCAAGUCGGAUGUGAAAUCCCCGGGCUCAACCUGGGAACUGCAUUCGAAACUGGCAGGCUAGAGUCUUGUAGAGGGGGGUAGAAUUCCAGGUGUAGCGGUGAAAUGUGUAGAGAUCUGGAGGAAUACCGGUGGCGAAGGCGGCCCCCUGGACAAAGACUGACGCUCAGGUGCGAAAGCGUGGGGAGCAAACAGGAUUAGAUACCCUUGUAGUC